rnacentral:rRNA from 1 species
AUGAACGCUGGCGGCGUGCCUAAUACAUGCAAGUCGAGCGAACAGACGAGGAGCUUGCUCCUCUGACGUUAGCGGCGGACGGGUGAGUAACACGUGGAUAACCUACCUAUAAGACUGGGAUAACUUCGGGAAACCGGAGCUAAUACCGGAUAAUAUAUUGAACCGCAUGGUUCAAUAGUGAAAGACGGUUUUGCUGUCACUUAUAGAUGGAUCCGCGCCGCAUUAGCUAGUUGGUAAGGUAACGGCUUACCAAGGCGACGAUGCGUAGCCGACCUGAGAGGGUGAUCGGCCACACCGGAACUGAGACACGGUCCAGACUCCUACGGGAGGCAGCAGUAGGGAAUCUUCCGCAAUGGGCGAAAGCCUGACGGAGCAACGCCGCGUGAGUGAUGAAGGUCUUCGGAUCGUAAAACUCUGUUAUUAGGGAAGAACAAAUGUGUAAGUAACUAUGCACGUCUUGACGGUACCUAAUCAGAAAGCCACGGCUAACUACGUG